GGGUGGAAUUAUUGAAUUGGCCCCAGGGUACUUCCCUGCCGUAUACAGCAGUAUUAAGAAAGCAGGAGGGCUUUGUAUUGCCGAUGAGGUUCAAUUUGGGUUUGCUCACACUGGGAGCCAUUUUUGGAGAUUUGAGACCCAAGGCAUUGUGCUUGACAUAGUGACAAUGGCAAAGGUGAACAAGCUUCAUGAAGUGUGUUGAAGAUUUCAUAGCUAGCGUUUAUCUGCAACUUAACAAGAUUUUUCAAUGCUCAGUGGCUUCGAUUUCUCAAUCUCAAACCUCUAGUGGUCUUCUUUUACUGCGAGUAGUAACACAAGUGAUGAAGACUAAAGAAUUCCUCAACUGAGCAGUGAGUCAACAACCAGAGCGUGAUUCUUGGGAAACUAACAUGGGUAUGGAGAUAGAAGGUGAUGGGGGUGCCUGCAUAUUUUCAACCUGAUCUGGAAGCAGAUCUCGUCUUGCCUCCGGCACCAGCUAGCAGAGUCGACAACCAUGUUCCAACUAGUAUGGUGUUAGAAUUGUAUGAUGCACGAUUCGAUUCAUACAAUUUAAUAUGAGUUUCAACCAAAAUUAUUUGAAUUGUGUUGUUUGAAAAUUUGGUGUGCUGUUGAAUUGAGAAUUGAGUAGUUUAUAGGUUUUUGUUUACAUAAUGUAUUGAAAUGACGCCUUUUUCAACUACUCUAUGAUGAAACAAAAAUAGGGCAAUUGGUUAUACUGAUAUACGUGGUGUUAUAUAUAUAUGUAAUAUAUAAUUUAUUUAUAUUGAUCCUGUGAAGUAUUUGAUUGUGAUUGCUAUAGUGUUCCAACAUAUGUGUGAGGUUUGGAAAUUCCUUUCCAAUAAUUUGGGCUAUAUUUCAUGAUAAGCAUCCGGUGGAUCUUGUAUGAGAAGAGAAAAAGAAAUGGAAGAAAAAGUGGGAAAAAAAAACUUUGUUAAUAGUUUCAUGUGGAAAAAACAUGCAAAGAGUAAACUGCUAAUGCAUGUAUUAUCUUAUGCAAUUUUAUCUUUUCUUUUGUGGAGAUUUUGUUGGAAUUUUGUGUUUCAUUUGUUGUGGCGCAUUAUAGAAACCAAAAACACCCUUUUCAUAGUUUUUAGAUAAUUAGAGAUCGACGAUUCCAACUUUCUUUACUCCAUUCAAAAAGUUGUUCAAAAUAAUUGAUCAAAAUUUCCAAUGAUCCGGUUUGUGCAUGUUAUUCAAAAUAAUGUUACUUUUAGGAGUUGUUAGUUUUUUGUUUGUAUUUUUUUUCCGUUGUGUUUUUGGCGCUAACCCCUUGCAGGCAAUGGCACAUAUAGACAUGGUUAAUCAUUUAAGGUAAUCUCCUUAACUUUUUGAUUUUAUUUUUUACAUUCAGGACAAUGCAUUGUUUAGUUUGGGGGGAGAAAAUACUUAUUUUGAGAAGAAUUUAUAUAUUUGCUUGCAGCUAUGAGUUAGUUAUUU